AGGUGGUGGAGUACAGAGAUCGAUGUCAGCGUCUGGAUCUUCAGCUGCAGAAUCAACACACACAACUCAUCAACACUGAGCAGAGGAUCAGAGAUGAACACAGUGACUCUCUUGAGAGCACCCUCAUCAGGCUGGAAGAGGAACAGCAGAGGUCAGUCGGUCUGGCUGAGACCAACGCUCUCUUGCGGGAGCAACUCGGCCAAUCAGAGCACGCCAACCAGGCCCUGAGGCAGGACCUCCAGAAGCUGACAGCUGAUUGGUCAAGAGCUGUGGAAGAGGCGGAGCAGAGAGAGUCUGAUUGGCUGAGAGAGAAGAAGUGUGUGUCAGGUGGUGUGGGUCAUCAUCAGGCUCAGUUGUUGUCUGUGUGGAGAUCUGUGGUUUCUCUGAGACGAGUCUGUCACUCUGUCAAAACUGCAGCC